rnacentral:lncRNA from 1 species
GAGCAAUCUGCUGGGGCGCUGGUUCUUGAGCUUUUGGCUCAACCGGUGGCGUCUCUUGCGCCGGGUCUUCGACGAUCGUGGUUCUUGCACUGGUUGUUCAGCUGGUGGCUCAACCUGUUGAUCAAUCACCGGCGGCUUCGGCUCUUCGUGUUCUUGCGUGAUGGCCGGAGUCGCCGCCUAGACAGCCGGCGGUGGGUCAUGGCGCUCGGGCACAGACUCCAUGUCGCACACGGAAUGCCGGAACGUCUGCAAACUCCUCGCUUGGUGUUUCUUCGACAUCAUGCCUUGUGUCUACAUAGGUAGCUGGUGGACUUGCCUUUGUCUGCGGUGUUGCCAGGCUGUUUCCAACGGGAGACUCCAAACUGUUCUCUACCCUAUAUAUAGAAAAUAUUCCGUUCUCUAUAUGCUCCAGCAGCGUUGUCUAAAUGGUCCUCUAGAAUAGAGAACGCUACAGGUUUCCUC